rnacentral:rRNA from 1 species
GCUUCUUUCAAGAAACAGCUGGAUGGCAUCCUUAGAUCAGCUGAAGCUAAGCAGGUGUGUGCCUGGCCAGUACCUGGAUGGGGGACCUCCUGGGAAAGCUGAUGGAAGAAGUG